rfam:Gossypium raimondii Chr02_contig_1484, whole genome shotgun sequence.
AACUCAAACUCAUCCAUUUAUAGUGUUAAAAACUGACAUAACUAAUGGAAUAACUAAACAAUGAUAUGUGGAUUGCCUCGUAUACUUCAUACUGAUGUAUAAAGGUUAAUUUUUAUAACAGUAGAAAUAGAUGAAAGUUUUAACA